rnacentral:misc_RNA from 1 species
CAUGAGUGUGUGUGGGUGUGGGUGUGUGUGAGGAAGCAAGUGGAAGUCUCCUCAACAAUCUUCAAUAUUUCUAGCUACUCCCAUCCCUGUUCCUUCCCAGCUAUUACACGUGCGGGAUGAGGGUGUGAGGGACCUGUGAAAAGAGCUCAUCGUUCAGUCUCUCUCAGUUACCUUCUUGCUCUCCCUGCCGCCGACUAUCACCUGCCUCACCGAUGUGCAUAGAGUCCAUAGAGAAGAGUGCUGGUCUUCAUCGUUCACAGACGGGACUGGAGCAAUGCAGUGAGAAUAAAUGAAUUUUGACCACCUGCUGCCCUCUCCUGCCUGGCUCCCCGAUCCUGCUGAGUCCCCCUGGCAGUCUCUCACGGCCUCUCCUCCGCGCGUCGUCUGCUAGCUAGGGGAUGGACAGCCAUGGCGCGAUGACUCACUCCCCUCCUGUCAACUAGCCUAACGCUCCCUCACCAUGGCUGGCCUUGGCGCUAAGGAUAUUUUGCGGAACGUGACGGCGCUGGAGCAGUUGAUAGAGGAGAUCAACUUUCAGCGUGCCAAGGAGAUGCGACAAUGUCUCAUGUCAAAGGACUCCGACACUGGGUUCGUCAUGGUGCAGGGAACCACCUACUGGACAGACCUCUUUGUGCGUCACUUCCUCUUCCAAACUGACAGAUCUACAGAUGCUGAUGAUCUCUUGUUCUUCAUUAGAAAAAAACAUCUGAAAGGUUCUCGAUACAUUCCAAAAUACCAGACUGAGGUGGAAGUAUAUCGGAGAGACAGUCGCAAGUUGCCCAUUGGGGAUCCAGAUGUGGAUUGGGAAGAGACAGUUUACCUCAACCUCAUCAUCCACCAGUUUGACUAUACUCUCACCUUGGCAGUCUGCACCCGCACCAGCCCCAAGGACCUGCAGGUGUUGCGCCGCCAUUCACAGAAAGUUUACGCCAGCCCAAGUCGACGCAGAAUGGACACCAAAGGAGAAGUGGAGGAAAUAACUUAUCCCAGUGUCUGUUUCCAUGUGGACAACUUUGAUGAGGUGUUUGCGGAUAUGCUUGUACGUGACGGAGAGAUGGUUUGUGUAGAGCUUGUUGCCUCGGACCAUGCUGGCAUCCGUCAGGCGGUGAUCUUCCUAGGUUCCAUUAGAUAUGAUGCUUUGAAACGAGUGUAUGAUGCCAGAGCAAGUUUAAGCAGUAAGGUGGCUCAGCGAAUGAUGAUGGGUCUGUUUGCUGGCAACAGCAACCAAAGAAUAGAGUUUGUGAGAAUGAAGGGACCUCAAGGCAAAGGGCAUGCAGAAAUGGCAGUGACAAAACCAAAAGGUUCAGGUGUAGAGACCCCCACUUCAGAGCCGGGAGUGAGUCUGACAGACAUGUGGGACUGUGAUUGGGAGGAUGAGCCUGAAGACAGGUUCAUUUAUAGGCAUCAGAGGCGCCUCAGUGAUCCCAGUGCAAACUUCAAUACUUUCAUCAAUUCUGGAUGGAAGUCUAGGCCAGAGGGUUCAAGAUCACGCUCUGAGAAUGAGGGUCUGGACUACUUUGCUGAUGGCCUGUACGAAAUAGAGUCCGGAGAUGUGCGUGAUGCGGUGUGUAGUGGUAGAUGUUGUUCUGUGGUAGCAUGCAACACAAUUCAGGAAGAGGAGGAAGUACCACAGGCAGUGCAGUGUGCCAAAUGCAGACACUUUCAUGGGGAUCAGCUGGUGGGGUCUGGCUCCCCAAAAGAAGGGUCUUCUCCAAGUCUAAACUUGCCUGGUCAGGUACCUGAAAGUGAUUCCCCACUUCCCAAGCCGUCCCAGUGUCGUCCUUCCACCCCUCCGUCUCCCCAUGAGGGCAGCCCCCUACUCCCAUCCCGCCCUGUAUCACCUGAAGUGUCAGAAAGAGAUGACAACUUGCAGGCAGUAAAUGAUGUACAAAAUGAAACUGCUAAUACUGGUAAACAUGAAACCAAUGUGCCAAAUGACAGUGUUGAGACAAGAACUGAUUCUGGUGCUAAGUCAGCUUCAGGCGAAGAUUUAGAUAGACAGGAGGCAGCAAUAUGUGAUAGUAGUGAACCAAAAGAAGAGGUGUUUGUGGUUAUUGAACCUUCAACAACUGAUUGUGGCUCUGGCAUAAGUGAGACUUCUUUCAUUAGUAAAGAUAUUCAGAGACAGAUAUCUAAAGCUAAUGAAAUGCAGACACAAUCCGAUUCCCUUAAAAGCGGCACUUGGAAAAUAGAAGUGUCACCCAGAAGCCCUCUCAAAUCACGUCCGAAGACACCAGGUGGUGCUCAGAGAGUCCAGACCCCUUCACCUAAGGGAGACUCAGACUCCCUUCCUCCUGAGGACUGUCAUCCUCUUGCAGAUCCUGAGUCUCCCACUGCCUCCUCCAGAUUAUUAAAUGAAAAGGAAGAUGAAAUACAAGAAUUAAUGAGUGAUAGAGAAAAGCCUCCAUUCCAAAAAAGUCUUUCUGUUGAUUCUGCCAAAAUGAGUGCAGUCAGAGCGAGAAUGAAUGGUAAUGAAUCACCAUCAGAAUCCAUUACAGCGUUAAACCUCAGUCCUGUCAAGACGAGAAAGAAAAUCUCAGUGCCAUUCAGAGUGACGCCAGAUGGCACCAAGGUUAACUUUCUCUGCGACGUCAAGCUGGAUGAUGGGGCAUACAAUCCUCUGUGGACCACUAAAGGCUUCACUCAAACGUUCCACUUCUGGAAGGAGUCACGGCGGGCUCAGUCUGUUCCCCUAAAUGCUUAUCUAACUUAUGUAACUCUACCAUGGUUCACAAUCAUUACAGACAUCUUAGAUCACAGGACAGGACCAAUCCUGACAUUUUAAUACCAUGGUGGAAGAUUGGUGCUGGUGGAGAGUCAACAUCAUCCACACCCCACACUCUGGUACCUCAAGACCCCCAAAGCUCCUUUCAUCAGGAGCAAGGGGAAUCAGCUAUUCAAUUAAAGAACGGAAACAAUCACAUAACACCUGAAAGUAAAGUAUAAAUGCUCUUAGUGUACAAACUGUUUCUGACAUACAAAAGGUGUGUCAGUGUCAACAGAUGCAUGUACUUUGUUACAAAAAAGAAUGUAUGGAGUGUUGCAUCUUCAACAACUUUAAAGAUAAUGAAAAUAUUUAAAUCAUGUAUAUAACAUGAUUAUUUUUUUCUCAUUCUAAGGCAACAAGCACAAAAAGAGUCAUAUACUGCAGUUUUAUUUAUGAUCACAGGUCAUUAUCAAGUUCUCUUGCUCAUCAGGGUGUUUAUUGAGCCCUGCAGUAGGGUGUGAGGAAGCAUGGUGUAUUUAUGAGGCCUCCUAACACACCUUUGCUGUUGUGGUCUUCUGUGUCUCCUCUUCAGUAUUUUAGGAUUCAGGUUUUUCACAAAACAAAACAAAAAAAGGUUUGUGUGUGUAUGUGUCUGUGUGUGUGUGUGUGUGUGUGUGUGUGUGUGUAUGUGUAUGUGGGUGUAGGUGUGGGUGUGUAUGAGCAUGCCUGAAUGUGUGAGAUGAGUCACAAAAUACACAUUGGUGUGGAUUUAGUGUACAGUACAUUCCCAGGUAUACUUGGUCAUCUUGGGUGUGUGGACAGAUGUCAAUUCUGGAACCUUUUUAAACAGCUAGAGUUCAGGUCACCUUACGUCCAGGUAACAAGUAACCCUUUGACUGUCCAGGAUUCAUACUCUUGUUCUGACUUCCCUUGCAUGUUAGUUCCUGUUAGUAGUGUUAGUAGGAAAAGAUCUGUUUGUAUACUCAGUUACCAUGGGUGUAUAUUGUGCCAACAGGAGCUAUAGAAACAAGGAUGAUAACUUAUGUGAUAAGUGCAGCAUGAAUCUUUAAAAAUAUAACUUGAAUAACAAGGUCUAAGUUAUCCAAAUAUUAUCAUCUCCAUAAUGAAUUAAAGGUUGUAUUGCAGUUCAUAUCUGAUUAUAACAGUCAUACUCAUAGGAACCAAUUGGAUGUUCUCUCAGACUCUUUACUGUAUUCUAGUCAACGCAAGAGCGUCUUGGUUGUGCAUGAUGACCUGUGCAGUCCUUGGGCUCUCAGGCUGUCUCUCAGUCUCAGUGCAUAUGGUUGUUGUCUACAGUAGUCAAAAGAUCGAGGAAAAGUAAUAUGUACAACAAUAAAUAAGAAUACAAAGAAUGUAAUAAGUAUAUAAAAAAAAUUUUCAAUCCACAUUUUCAAAUUUAUUCAUAUGUAAUGUUACUAAUCUGUGGCCAAAGAGUGAUUUAUACAGAUAUAUUAUAGGUUUGAAAGCUAACGUUUGAAUUCUACCCGUGUAUUAGAAUUUUUUUUUCUUUUCUCCUUUUUAAAACUUGUGACUUUAUUACAUUAAUUCUUAACUAUGAUAAUCAAAGACAUAAUGAUUACAAAUUGUUAAGGAUGGAGAGAGUUAAAGUUUGGUCAGGGGACCACAGACAUGGAGGAAUUUGAAUUACACAUAUAUACAUGUUUUUUUCACAUAUGCACAUGUCUGUUCUGUUUUCAUAGAGAAAAGUUUUUUUUUUCAGUGUACUUUUUCUACUUAAACAUUAAAGUAGGUUAAUUAUUUUCUUUUGAUUCAUAGUUUAUGAUCUGCAUUGUUAUUCUUAAGCACGUAAUACAUAACUUGGGCAGUAAUUGUAACAUGGCUAAUUUUUUUUCCAUUUUGAAUGCUAUUUCAUUGUCAAAAUCAGUAUAGUAGUAGUGGUAUCAAUUGGUAAGAUGCUUAACAUAACUAUAUAUUACAAAACUAUCUGUAGCCAAAUGGCUGUAAUAGUCUUACCAAAGAUGAAUUAAUGUCAGAUACAUUCAGAGGGAAUAUUUUUUAUAUCAUAGAAACAGUAACUUGAAUUGCCUUUUAAAGAGUAAUGCUAUUGAUUUUUGUAAUCUCUUCAGUCAUGUACACAAGGCCUCCUUUACCUGUGGCAGGGACUGCUCCUUGGAUAGGAGAGAUCCUUGGCUAGGAAAGGAAAAGGCCUACCAGGCCACUGUGAUAAUUCAUGACCGGUGUAAUGGUGUAUCCCAGCCCGUUUCCUUCGCACAAGAACUUUGGAACUUAAUGAAACCAUAACUAAUGAAGGAAGGUUAUAAAAUUGACUUGAGCACUUGUUUUAGAUGAAGGACAUAGAUAACAAGUGUUUUAUCUUUAAAGGGUAGCUAUAAAAGUUGAUGUAUUGUAUGGUAUGGUAAAGAUUGGUGUUCCAACUUUGUGUUAAAAGUAUGUUCACAGUUUCAGAGAGAAAACCACUGAAGAAAGUGUAUGAAUGUCACACAUAUGCUCAGUUUUUAUGAGUGUACAAGAUUUUCUUUUGAUAGAUUUUUACUUAUAAUUGUAAUUACUUGCUUGGAUAUAUUUACAUUUCCAAGCCAAUGCGAUAGUAGAGUUUAUUCAAUAUUUUCAUAAAAUCAAUGGUAAUGAAAAAAGCAGAUGCAAGAGCAUCAUGCAGCAUGUUGUCUUUGAGGUGUCAUUUUCCAUAAUGCUGAUGUAUACUUUUUUCAUUAUGCUUUCUUCAUAUAAGUCAAGACUAUUGAUAUGAAAUUCACAAGCUGUUUUUGAGGCUCCUCAAAAGACAAAUCAAAUAAGUGAUGAGUUGAAGUAGGUGGGCAGCACUAGGGUUCCAUUACUUUCUUACACUCCCCUUUACUAAUGAAUUUGUAUGAUGAACCAGUUUAUUUAUCAUGCUGAGGCCUCCUUGUGUUUCCCACAUAUUUGUCGGGAAUUUAUGAAUGUAGCACAGGGAAGAAAGCAAAGUUUAUAUUGCUUGUAAAUUUUUUAAGGUAUUAUAACCAUUUUCAGGAGAGCCUUCAUGUUCCUUUUGUGUAAAGCAUGUUUUAUAUCAAAAGAACAUGUAGGAUUCAGAAGAAGUGAUGUGUACCCUGGUGCUACUUAUUCUAUCCCAAGUAAUAUUUUGAGAUUAAGAAUUCUGAUUAAAAAAUGAACUUGAAAUGUACUCUGCUUUUACAACUAUGAAGGCAUUCAGAGUUCAAGCUGUGAGUAAGAUUCUAAAUUACAGUGUAGAGGUAAUGGCAGAUUUUCAGAUUAUUGUAGACAAUUCAGUGUCUUGUGGUAGUUAAGACUAGCUUUUUUAUUUGGUUAUUAUAUUUAUCUAUUAAAACAUAUUUCUUUAAAAUAUCUUCUGAAACAACCAGAGGCUAGUAAGCUAAGGUGAAGUACUUGUAUUAACCAAGGUGAAAAACUUUUCUAAAGACAGUUAUAUAGAUUAUAUGAGUUCAGCAAAUCUAGCCAUAAUAUAUUCCCUUUUCAAAGUACACAAGGGAAACCACUGUCUGCAUGAACUCUUAAGAGAGUGUAGGUCUUAUGGAAGAAAACCAUUCUGGCCCUUCCUGCCUUUGCCCAUAGCUACUCCCUCUGUCUUGUAAGCUUCUUGAGGGACUUACAGGAAACUAAUAUGAGCUCCUUUCAGUGGUCAAUUUUCAAGCUCCAUCAGUGUUACUUCAACAGCGGCUAAUGUUUUCUAACUGCAUAUUUCUUUCUCAAAUCCUCUGGUGCUUUCAGACUUAUUUUGGCUUUUUAAUUCAGCAUGACAAUUAUUGAAAGGUUAGUGUAUUUUUCCAAAUGAUUUGAAAUUCAGCCAGUUUGAAUCUUAAAUAUAGUAGGUAAAUCUGUCUGACAUAGUUUGCAACAUGGUAUUUACCAUUACCAGAAAGCUUACUUACAGCUUGGUACAGUUUCAUCUGUGAUAAGCAGAUUGGAAUAAAGAGAAAGAUUGCAAA